rnacentral:tRNA from 1 species
GCGCCCGUAGCUCAGUGGAUAGAGCGUCUGGUUGCGGUCCAGAAGGUCGUAAGUCCGAUUCUUGCCGGGCGCA